AAAAUAAAAACAGGAGGAAUUAAAAGGUUAGAUUAUUUUCUUCGUAUGUCUCUCUGCAGGAGUGAGCGGUAACUGGCAGGCUGCUUUGAGACCUUUGCUGAUGAUGCCACUUGAACAAGGAUUCUACAAGAAAACGAAUACUCAUGUGUUGACCUCCGCCGUUGCCAGACGCACCAGAUGGAAGCAAAGUUGUGUGCCCAUUGUGCCACCGAUUGCAUCGCAGCCCAGGACACUGUGUGCCAGCUGGCUCCUAAGCCUACCCAUGUGGUUUAACCGUGCUGACUUUGGAUGUAAAUCCACUCAGAAACCCUUCUUGGUAAGUCAUCAAUUAUUAACUUAAUAUGCCUGUUCUGUGCAUUCCCACUGCUCCAGGAUUCAUUAUAUUGCCUUUUGGUUGACCUGACAGAGCUCUUCCAUGCCUCUCCUUCCAAC
rnacentral:lncRNA from 1 species